CAGACCGCAUUUUUUGUCGGACGGUUACAUCAAGAGUUUCAAUCUGUCCAUAAAACCUUUUCCUAACUUUGACAAAAAUGUCAUUACCUGCAUCUAUGGGUUUCACGAGAAAUCUGAAGUUUGGGCUGAGAAGCAUUUUGACAACAUUUGGCCAAACUGGAAAGAUGGCAUGAAUAAUGCCUUAAAAGACGAUAUUUUGGAUAUUGAAAAAUAUUAUGAUGAAACAAUCGGUGCUGUUACAGACCAGCUUUACACUUGGUUGUCGAAAUGAGAAAGUGUUCAUGAUCAAGUCAAUGCAUGGGGACGUUGGAUUAAAAUCUGGAGUCAGUUUACGUUGGAAAGCUUUCUUGAAAGUAAUAUCGAGGUAAUCAAAGCUAAAGUACCUGUUGAAGAUCAAGCAGACUUGGAUUUAGUUAAACUUGGAAAUCUUUUGCCAUGGUCUAAUGAUGCUGUUCGUGGUUAUUCUGUAUUUUGCUAUACGGAGCAGCUUGAUCAGUCACUGGGAUCCUAUCUUAAUUUUGAACUGGGAAAA